rnacentral:rRNA from 1 species
ACGGCUCAGUAACACGUAGUCAACAUGCCCAGGGGACGUGGAUAACCUCGGGAAACUGAGGAUAAACCGCGAUAGGUCAUCACUUCUGGAAUGGGUAAUGACUUAAACCUAUAUGGCCCCUGGAUUGGACUGCGGCCGAUCAGGCUGUUGGUGAGGUAAUGGCCCACCAAACCUGUAACCGGUACGGGCUCUGAGAGGAGGAGCCCGGAGAUGGGCACUGAGACAAGGGCCCAGGCCCUAUGGGGCGCAGCAGGCGCGAAGCCUCUGCAAUAGGCGAAAGCUUGACAGGGUUACUCUGAGUGAUUUCCGUUAAGGAGAUCUUUUGGCACCUCUAAAAAUGGUGCAGAAUAAGGGGUGGGCAAGUCUGGUGUCAGCCGCCGCGGUAAUACCAGCACCCCGAGUGGUCGGGACGUUUAUUGGGCCUAAAGCAUCCGUAGCCGGUUCUACAAGUCUUCCGUUAAAUCCACCUGCUUAACAGAUGGGCUGCGGAAGAUACUAUAGAGCUAGGAGGCGGGAGAGGCAAGCGGUACUCGAUGGGUAGGGGUAAAAUCCGUUGAUCCAUUGAAGACCACCAGUGGCGAAGGCGGCUUGCCAGAACGCGCUCGACGGUGAGGGAUGAAAGCUGGGGGAGCAAACCGGAUUAGAUACCCGGGUAGUCCCAGCUGUAAACGAUGCAGACUCGGUGAUGAGUUGGCUUAUUGCUAACUCAGUGCCGCAGGGAAGCCGUUAAGUUUGCCGCCUGGGGAGUACGGUCGCAAGACUGAAACUUAAAGGAAUUGGCGGGGGAG